rnacentral:rRNA from 1 species
GNGGNNANGCUGCUACCAUGCAGUCGACGGUGACACGGAGCUUGCUCUGUGGGAUCAGUGGCGAACGGGUGAGUAACACGUGAGCAACCUGCCCCUGACUCUGGGAUAAGCGCUGGAAACGGCGUCUAAUACUGGAUACGAGUAGCGACCGCAUGGUCAGUUACUGGAAAGAUUUAUUGGUUGGGGAUGGGCUCGCGGCCUAUCAGCUUGUUGGUGAGGUAAUGGCUCACCAAGGCGUCGACGGGUAGCCGGCCUGAGAGGGUGACCGGCCACACUGGGACUGAGACACGGCCCAGACUCCUACGGGAGGCAGCAGUGGGGAAUAUUGCACAAUGGGCGCAAGCCUGAUGCAGCAACGCCGCGUGAGGGAUGACGGCCUUCGGGUUGUAAACCUCUUUUAGCAGGGAAGAAGCGAAAGUGACGGUACCUGCAGAAAAAGCGCCGGCUAACUACGUGCCAGCAGCCGCGGUAAUACGUAGGGCGCAAGCGUUAUCCGGAAUUAUUGGGCGUAAAGAGCUCGUAGGCGGUUUGUCGCGUCUGCUGUGAAAUCCGGAGGCUCAACCUCCGGCCUGCAGUGGGUACGGGCAGACUAGAGUGCGGUAGGGGAGAUUGGAAUUCCUGGUGUAGCGGUGGAAUGCGCAGAUAUCAGGAGGAACACCGAUGGCGAAGGCAGAUCUCUGGGCCGUAACUGACGCUGAGGAGCGAAAGGGUGGGGAGCAAACAGGCUUAGAUACCCUGGUAGUCCACCCCGUAAACGUUGGGAACUAGUUGUGGGGUCCAUUCCACGGAUUCCGUGACGCAGCUAACGCAUUAAGUUCCCCGCCUGGGGGAGUACGGGCCGCAAGGCUAAAACUCAAAGGAAUUGACGGGGACCCGCACAAGCGGCGGAGCAUGCGGAUUAAUUCGAUGCAACGCGAAGAACCUUACCAAGGCUUGACAUAUACGAGAACGGGCCAGAAAUGGUCAACUCUUUGGACACUCGUAAACAGGUGGUUGCAUGGUUGUCGUCAGCUCGUGUCGUGAGAUGUUGGUUUAAGUCCCGCAACGAGCGCAACCCUCGGUUCUAUGUUGCCAGCACGUAAUGGUGGGACUCCAUGGGAUAACUGCCCGGGGUCAACUCGGAGGAAGGUGGGGGAUGACGUCA